AGAAGCGGUUCAGGCCAGAGAGAAGAACGGCCCAGGGCGGGGGUCGUAGAAACAGUGGAUGUCCUGGAAAUCUUCAAAUAGGAAAAGCUACUCAGCUUCUCUUUUAGAUAACCAGUACUGCUAGUUUCCAAGUAAGAUCGACCAAACCUUCAUGUAGUUGUGACAUGGUUUUCGGAUUCGCUUUGUUCCCAAUGCUUCGAGGAUCCACUCUUCGGGCCAAGUGAAGAUCAUUGACCUUUCGUCACUGUCUUUGUGUAUCAUGAAAUACUUGUCCCUCUUUCUAAAGCUGGCUGGCAACCUCACGAAGCAUUUUUUCCCCUUGAAGCCUGAUCCUCCUUCAGUUUAUCAAAUCUAUGGCAUGGCCCGUAUAAUUUCUUGGUAAAAAUAACUUUGGACUCUCUUAGUAAUUCAUGAAGCGAAGAAAAACAAGUCUACCAUUAUGUCAGGAGGACGGAUCCAAAUCACGUGACCCUUGGAUGGCUCCCUCACCCCGGCAGGCACCACCUUUAGCUCCCAGGGCUUUAACAGGGAAAGAACAGGUCGGGAAAGCACCUGACCCGUCAUCCCAAGAGCAUCACUGUGCCUUCUGGCCUCCCCGAAGGAUGACACUCUCCUAAUGGUGAUCUGGGUCAUUUCUGUUGCAUCCCAGAGUGCUGGGCCGGAAUGGCUGGCCUCAGAUUGGCCCUCUGAGAGGCCGAGAAAGAGAGCGGGAACAGGCUCAAGCUAAAGAAAUUCCUCCCUCUUCAAGCCCCGAGGUGAGGCCACUGAUUGUUCUUUUCUGUGCCACAGCGACCCAGUCAGGAGAGAACCACUGCAGAGGCUGCCCAGCAUUCCUCCAGGAAAGAGCAUCAGGAGGGAACUCUUCCCUCAGGCAGCGGGAGGGCCCUGCUCACCAGGAGCCAUGUGAGGACCCACCCAACAGGGGACUGUCAGCAACUGGGAAAUCAAGGUUCCCUGAGUCCCAGGAAAGAUGUCUUACCAGCAGCAGCAGUGCAAGCAGCCCUGCCAGCCACCUCCUGUGUGCAUACCCAAGUGCCCUGAGCCAUGUCCACCCCCUAAGUGCCCUGAGCCAUGUCCACCUCCUUGCCCACCUGUGGUGUGCCCACCUCCAGUAUGCCAGCAGAAAUGCCCACCCUGCCCAC